AGCAGCCGCGGUAAUUCCAGCUCCAAUAGCGUAUAUUAAAGUUGUUGCAGUUAAAAAGCUCGUAGUUGAAUUUCGGGAUCAGUAUGUUGGUCGUGCUUCGGUACGUACUGUCAUUACUGGUUUCUACCUUCUGAAGAACCAUGAUGUCAUUAAUUUGGUGUCAUGGGGAAUCAGGACUGUUACUUUGAAAAAAUUAGAGUGUUUAAAGCAGGCUCGCGCUUGAAUACAUUAGCAUGGAAUAAUGAAAUAGGACGUUUGAUUCUAUUUUGUUGGUUUCUAGGAUCGGCGUAAUGAUUAAUAGGGAUAGUUGGGGGCAUUAGUAUUCAAUUGUCAGAGGUGAAAUUCUUGGAUUUAUUGAAGACUAACUACUGCGAAAGCAUUUGCCAAGGAUGUUUUCAUUAAUCAAGAACGAAAGUUAGGGGAUCGAAGACGAUCAGAUACCGUCGUAGUCUUAACCAUAAACUAUGCCGACUAGGGAUCGGAUGAUGUUAAUUUUUUAAUGUACUCA
rnacentral:sRNA from 1 species